rnacentral:tRNA from 1 species
UCCCUAGUGGCUCAGAUGGUGUGAAGCAUCUGCCUACAGUGCAGGAGACCCGGGUUCAAUCCCUGGGUUGGGAA